rnacentral:rRNA from 1 species
AUUGAACGCUGGCGGCAUGCCUUACACAUGCGAGUCGAACGGCAGCGCGGACUUCGGUCUGGCGGCGAGUGGCGAACGGGUGAGUAAUACAUCGGAACGUACCCUGUUGUGGGGGAUAACUAGUCGAAAGAUUAGCUAAUACCGCAUACGACCUGAGGGUGAACGUGGGGGACUGCAAGGCCUCACGCAGCAGGAGCGGCCGAUGUCUGAUUAGCUAGUUGGUGGGGUAAAGGCCCACCAAGGCGACGAUCAAUACCUGGUCUGAGAGGACGAUCGGCCACAGGGGGACUGAGACACGGCCCAGACUCCUACGGGAGGCAGCAGUGGGUAAUUUUGGACAAUGGGGGCAACCCUGAUCCAGCAAUGCCGCGUGUGUGAAGAAGGCCUUCGGGUUGUAAAGCACUUUUGUCCGGAAAGAAAUCGCGCUGGUUAAUACCUGGCGUGGAUGACGGUACCGGAAGAAUAAGCACCGGCUAACUACGUGCCAGCCGCCGCCGUAA